AAAGGGAGUGACUCCAGAUGCUUCCACAAAGCAGAGAGUGAGAGGUGCAGAGGAUAGUGACUGCUGUUACAAAAGGGUGGUUGCUUGUCAGAAGAAGUGGAGAGAAGGUAUUGAAGAAUGGAAUAAAUUGGUCAUAAGAAGCAGAGUCAGGUCAGGAGAGGUCUUCUAAGUCAGAGAGCUGGUGCUGAAGUUGACAGCUUCCAAGGUGUUUCAAAGAGAGAACCACAGUUAUUGCUGUUGGGCUCAGUGAGAGAGAAAUCUGCCUCCUGCAGGGGGGAGAGUGGAAGAACAGAGGAUCAAGUUGAGCUUACUUUGCGUGGGAGUAGUGCUGACGGAGUGAAGGUAAAAGUUUUCACUUGACUCGCUAGCUAAAGACUUGGUAAUCCCUUUCCAACCUUGUGAGCUUUCCAGGCCCUCGGGCACAUGCUUCCUUUGGCUUCACCCUGCCCCACAAGCAAACGCAGCAGUCUGGAAAAGAAUGGGUAAAUAGCUAUGGAGAAGGAGGACUUUAUGACAUGAUCAGUCUUCUCUGAAGAGAUGCAGCCAAGCAUGUGUCAGGUAGCUGAACAUGUUUGGAGCCUUUUGUCUAUUUUCAAAUAAUAAGCUUAAUGUAAUAAUGUCAUUACACAGCACUGAACUCAAGGGUUUGUUUGCACUGAAGCACAACAGAAGCUAAGCUAUCAGUUAGGCACCUCGCUUCCAUCGAAGUAACAACCACUUUCACUGGCAGAAGUAUUUCUGCAUUUUCCUGUUCUACUUAAGGCUGCUUUUGGCAUGAAAUAACUAUGUUUGCUUGAGACCAAUAAAAAAACUUCUGGGAGGAAAAA